rnacentral:tRNA from 1 species
GGCUUGUAGCUCAGGUGGUUAGAGCGCACCCCUGAUAAGGGUGAGGUCGGUGGUUCAAGUCCACUCAGUCA